rnacentral:rRNA from 1 species
GUGGGGAAUCUUCCGCAAUGGACGAAAGUCUGACGGAGCAACGCCGCGUGAGUGAAGAAGGUUUUCGGAUCGUAAAGCUCUUUCGUUAGGGACGAACGUGCUCUUUGUGAAUAAUGAGGAGUAAUGACGGUACCUAAAUAAGAAGCCACGGCUAACUACGUGCCAGCAGCCGCGGUAAUACGUAGGUGGCAAGCGUUGCCCGGAAUUAUUGGGCGUAAAGCGCGCGCAGGCGGGAUAUCAAGUCUGUCUUAAAAGUGCGAGGCUCAACCUCGUGAGGGGACAGAAACUGGUAUUCUUGAGUGUCGGAGAGGAAAGUGGAAUUCCAAGUGUAGCGGUGAAAUGCGUAGAGAUUUGGAAGAACACCAGUGGCGAAGGCGACUUUCUGGACGAUGUCUGACGCUGAGGCGCGAAAGCUAGGGGAGCGAACGGGAUUAGAUACCCUGGUAGUCC